rnacentral:lncRNA from 1 species
AACAUUUUGGUGUAGGAUAGUGAUUGAGGUGGUUUGGUUUGUUUUUGUGCUGUGUUCCAAAAGGUUCUGGUGUUUGGCUUGUUUGUGAUCGGUUUGUAUUUUUCUCUCUUGUGGAUUAUACCUAAAAAAUGAGAAUCAUUUAAUAGUGAGGUAUGGUCUGAUUCUUUGGAUGCUGUGUGCGAGAUAUCUAUGUUAAGAUUGUGUGGAGAGUCCUGCCCUGCGGUUUUUGACAAAACAUGUUCAACUUUUUUACAGGCAGGGGAUAUUGUCCCUAGGCUAUCUAUAUAUUUGUUCAGAAAGUCUUCAUAUGUUUCUUCUUUUUCCAGUUUAGUAGCAGUCAUUGGUGGUUUCCUGUCUUUAACUUUGUGCACUGUCAGAGUGUUGUUUCUUGGUGGUCUAGUAGCCGUGACUUCCUCAUAGUUUGAGUGUGUAUUGUAAUGCAUUGCAUUUGUGACAGUAUUGCUUUUUUCUUUUACAUGUUUUUUGUUUUUUGCUACCUGGAGAGAAAUGCUGAACUGGUUUUGGCGCUGAACUGGUCUUAUUUUACUUGAUGCUAAGCUAGUUAUUUUUGAAAAAGACCCUUUCCUAAUAAUAGGUGUGUUUUGUGUUACUUUCACAGAUGUGUUUGGUUCCAGCUUAUUUUGAUUUUGCAUUUGUUGGUGUAGCAUCUGUAGCUGAUGUUCCACUUGGUCUUGACAGGUAGUUAGCUGAGUGAGUUGGUACAGUACAAGAGCAAGAUUGCCUUGCUUGUGCAAGUCUGUACCAGUAGUUUGCGCUUCUGGAGAAGUAAAUUCUAUCACCUUGGUGUGUAGGUCAGCACUUAAAGUUUGCGUUUCCACAUUUUUACUUACUCCAAUUUUUUGAUUUCUUGUAUCUCGAUUUGAGGUAAUGUUCUUUUCAAGAUUUCUAAUUGUAUUCUUUAAGUUACUAAUUGUCUUUACAUAGUCAUCAAUAAAUUGUCCUUGUUUAUUGUCGUGCUCUUCAAAAAAGGCUUGUGUGUCUAAGCGAAGUUUCUUUUCUUUUUCCAAUUGGACUUGCGUUUCAGAAAUAUUCUGUAGUAGCCUUUCUAUUUUAUUGAUGAACUUAUUUUCUUCACUUUCCAUCUUCUCAAUCUUUUCUUCCAGAGUUUCUAUUGUAGCUUCUAGUCUAAUAUUUUUCUCCUUCAGGAAGUUAUUUUCUUCUAGAAGAGCUGCUCCUAUCUUUGCGGCCAUUUUUAAUUUUUCAUCAUUAUCUUCUAGAUUGUGUAGAACGUUACUCUCAUUCAGACUGCGUUCGAGUUCAUCUAAUGAUGUAUACAAGACAUCUGGGCUUUUGGAAGAGCUAGCUUUAUAUGCCACUUCUGCUUCAGCUAGGGCUUUGUUAAAUUUUCCAUUUUUGAAAUUUUCUGUUUGUGGUAUACCGUGGAUAUGAACGUUUGUAGAAUAUAAAGAUAGACAGGACUCUUUCACUGUGGCUGUUGUACUGUCGCCAAAAAAUGUGACAGAAAAUGUUACAGAAAAUGUUGAAGCUUUGUUUUCAUGUUUUACUAUUUCUGUGAUUGUGGCAGGCCAGUGACGUAUUCCUUUUAGUUUAGCGAAAACUAUGUCCCCCUCUGAGAAUUGUUGUUUAUUGCAAGCCAUAUCUAAUAGGCUCAAAACUGAAGUGGGUCAGUUUUUACAGCCUUCAGUUUUGACAGAAUCCUAUUGCAAUACACUGUUGUUGCCUGGUUGCAUUCUUAAAUCAGCAGGCACUGACAGAUGUGGUUGAUAUUAGAUUGGCUCAGUCCUCUUGGUAAACUAAAAAUUUACUGAGCCAGUUGCCUUCGGAUUCUUGGAUGUGAUUCAAGCAGUACACUGUUGUAGUCGUGUUGCGUCGCUGAGAUGCAGGCACCAGUGAGUGUUUGCUCUUUAGCUUAGAGUGGUAGUAGUCUGGUGCUCUGGUUGUGAAGGAUGUCAAGUUAUUGAAGAGUUAUUGAUAUAUUAUUUGCAUAAUAUUUCUGUCAGAAAAGAAAUACUUGGGAAUAAAUAUUAAGUUAGUUAGUAAUAAUAGUUAAGGAUUGCAAGUAAUCAAACUUGUUCGUUAUCAGAUAACACAAGAUGCAUUAAACAACCUCAGUCAAGUUUCAAGGUCAACACAAUCAAGAUAAUAGUCAAAGCUUUAUCAAUUGUGAAUGUCAAAGUUCGAUUGUGCUGUGGUUGGGGAUGGAAUAGUCUCAGACAGGAAACUACCACAGUUAUCAAAUGCAGGUUAUAACUUCUUGUCAAAACUAAAACUAAGAGAUUGUUAAUAUUACUAUUUCCUUAUUGAAGACACUGGAAAGAGUGUUAGUUUUUAAUAAAAUCUUGACUACUUGCAGUGAUUUUCACAACCCUAAGCUUUUUAAUUAAUAAACCACAGUUAAUCCAACAGUCACAAAACAUGUGAUUGAGUGAACUGUAUAGUACAAGAAGUGAACUGUGAAAAAUUAAACUCAGAUUUGUCUCUGAUGGUACCUCUUGAUUUGGCUACCACACCUGACAGCGAAGAAGAGCUUAGAUUAGGCAAGGAGAUUCUGCAGUUCUACACCAACACUGACGCUCUCUCUUGG